rnacentral:misc_RNA from 1 species
GGAAAAGUCGUAACAAGGUCUCCGUUGGAGAACCAGCGGAGGGAUCAUUACAGGACUCGCAAGACUCCUUCACCCUGUGAACCUCACUACAAGCACGUUGCUUCGGCGGGUGUCCCGGCGGGGGUUUUCCCUCGCCGGGGCGCACAGCCCGCCGGCAGCCUACUAUACUCUGUCUCUUUGCGUUGGCAUCUCGAGAAAAAACAAACAAGUUAAAACUUUCAACAACGGAACUCUUGGUUCUG